AUUGAACGCUGGCGGCAGGCCUAACACAUGCAAGUCGAACGAGUGGCGGACGGGUGAGUAAUGUCUGGGCAACUGCGUGAUGGAGGGGGAUAACUACUGGAAACGAUAGCUAAUACCGCAUACCAUCGGAUGGGUCCAGAUGGGAUUAUCUAGUGGGUGGGGUAAAGGCUGACCUAGGCGACGAUCCGUAGCUGGUCUGAGAGGAUGAUCAGCCACACUGGAACUGAGACACGGUCCAGACUCCUACGGGAGGCAGCAGUGGGGAAUAUUGCACAAUGGGCGAAAGCCUGAUGCAGCCAUGCCGCGUGUAUGAAGAAGGUCUUCGGAUUGUAAAGUACUUUAAGCGGGGAGGCGUUACCCACAGAAGAAGCACCGGCUAACUCCGUGCCAGCAGCCGCGGUAAUUC
rnacentral:rRNA from 1 species